GACGAACGCUGGCGGCGUGCUUAACACAUGCAAGUCGAACGGAAAGGCCUCUUUCGGGGGGUACUCGAGUGGCGAACGGGUGAGUAACGCGUGAGUAACCUGCCCUUGACUUUGGGAUAACUUCAGGAAACUGGGGCUAAUACCGGAUAGGAGCUCCUGCUGCAUGGUGGGGGUUGGAAAGUUUCGGCGGUUGGGGAUGGACUCGCGGCUUAUCAGCUUGUUGGUGGGGUAGUGGCUUACCAAGGCUUUGACGGGUAGCCGGCCUGAGAGGGUGACCGGCCACAUUGGGACUGAGAUACGGCCCAGACUCCUACGGGAGGCAGCAGUGGGGAAUAUUGCACAAGGGGUGGAAGCCUGAUGCAGCAACGCCGUGUGCGGGAUGACGGCCUUCGGGUUGUAAACCGCUUUCGCUCAUGACGAAGCUUUGUGUGACGGUAGUGGGUAAAGAAGCACCGGCUAACUACGUG
rnacentral:rRNA from 1 species